CCUACGGGGGGCAGCAGUAGGGAAUAUUGCUCAAUGGGGGAAACCCUGAAGCAGCAACGCCGCGUGGAGGAUGAAGGUUUUCGGAUUGUAAACUCCUUUUGUUAGAGAAGAUAAUGACGGUAUCUAACGAAUAAGCACCGGCUAACUCCGUGCCAGCAGCCGCGGUAAUACGGAGGGUACAAGCGUUACUCGGAAUCACUGGGCGUAAAGGGCGCGUAGGCGGGAUAGCAAGUCAGAUGUGAAAUCCUAUGGCUUAACCAUAGAACUUCAUUUGAAACUGUUAGUCUAGAGUAUGGGAGAGGAAGGUGGAAUUCUUGGUGUAGGGGUAAAAUCCGUAGAGAUCAAGAGGAAUACUCAUUGCGAAGGCGACCUGCUAGAACAUAACUGACGCUGAUGCGCGAAAGCGUGGGGAGCAAACAGGAUUAGAUACCCUUGUAGUC
rnacentral:rRNA from 1 species